UACGUAUGGUGCAAGCGUUAUCCGGAUUUACUGGGUGUAAAGGGAGCGUAGACGGAGUGGCAAGUCUGAUGUGAAAACCCGGGGCUCAACCCCGGGACUGCAUUGGAAACUGUCAAUCUAGAGUACCGGAGAGGUAAGCAGAAUUCCUAGUGUAGCGGUGAAAUGCGUAGAUAUUAGGAGGAACACCAGUGGCGAAGGCGGCUUACUGGACGGUAACUGACGUUGAGGCUCGAAAGCGUGGGGAGCAAACAGG
rnacentral:rRNA from 1 species